UAUCAGCUUUCGACGGUAUGGUAUUGGCUUACCGUGGCAGUGACGGUUAACGGGGGAUUAGGGUUCGAUUCCGGAGAGGGAGCCUGAGAAACGGCUACCACAUCUAAGGAAGGCAGCAGGCGCGCAAAUUACCCAAUUCUAACAGUUUGAGAGAGGUAGUAACAAGAAAUAACAAUACAAGGCAGUUAAAAUGCUUUGUAAUUGGAAUGAUAGAAAUUUAAACCCUUUUUAAAGUAUCAAUUGGAGGGCAAGUCUGGUGCCAGCAGCCGCGGUAAUUCCAGCUCCAAUAGCGUAUAUUAAAAUUGUUGCAGUUAAAAAGCUCGUAGUUGAAGUUCUGCUAAAAGUAACCGGUCUGCUUUUAAUAAAGGUGGUAUCUUGGUGUGUAUUUAGCAAUGAUGUCCUUUGAAGUGUUUUUUACUUUAUUGUAAUAAAGCAUAUUCAGGACUUUUACUUUGAGAAAAUUAGAGUGUUUCUAGCAGGCUAACGCUUUGAAUACUGCAGCAUGGAAUAAUAAGAUAGGAUUUUAGUUCUACAUUAUUGGUUUUAAGAGCUAAAUUAAUGAUUGAUAGGGACAGUUGGGGGCAUUUGUAUUUAACUGUCAGAGGUGAA
rnacentral:rRNA from 1 species